GGUCAAGUUAUUAAGGGUGCAGGGCGGAUGCCUUGGCACUAGGAGCCGAUGAAGGACGUGAUAAGCUGCGAUAAGCUUCGGGGAGUUGCACGUAAACUUUGAUCCGAAGAUUUCCGAAUGAGGAAACUCACUUAGAGUAAUGUCUAAGUAUCAUUAAGUGAAUACAUAGCUUAAUGAGGGGAACUCAGGGAACUGAAACAUCUAAGUACCUGAAGGAAGAGAAAGAAAUUCGAUUCCGUAAGUAGCGGCGAGCGAACGCGGAUUAGCCCAAACCAAUAAAGUUUUCUUUAUUGGGGUUGCGGACAUAUCAUAACGAAGAGGUAUCGUAAUUGAAGAGGUUUGGAAAGACCCACCACAGAAGGUAAUAGUCCUGUAUGUUAAACGAGAAGACUUCAGAUAUGAUCCAGAGUACCACGGGACACGUGAAACCCUGUGGGAAGCAGGAGGGACCACCCUCCAAGGCUAAAUACUACCUAGUGACCGAUAGCGUAUAGUACCGUGAGGGAAAGGUGAAAAGAACCCCGGGAGGGGAGUGAAAUAGAACCUGAAACCCUGCACUUACAAGCUGUGGAAGCACAUUUCUUGUGUGACCGCGUACUUUUUGUAGAACGGGCCAACGAGUUACGUUAAGUAGCAAGGUUAAGCACUUAAGGUGUGGAGCCGUAGCGAAAGCGAGUUUUAACUGAGCGUUCAGUUACUUGACGUAGACCCGAAACCGGGCGACCUACCCAUGAGCAGGAUGAAGCGAAAGUAAAAUUUCGUGGAGGUCCGAACCCACGAGCGUUGAAAAGCUCGGGGAUGACUUGUGGGUAGCGGUGAAAUUCCAAUCGAGCCCGGAGAUAGCUGGUUCUCCCCGAAAUAGCUUUAGGGCUAGCCUCAAGGUGAGAGAUACGGAGGUAGAGCACUGAAUGUCCUAGGGGGUAUUGCACCUACCGAAGACUAUCAAACUCCGAAUGCCGUCAUCUUAUACUUGGGAGUCAGACUGUGGGUGAUAAGAUUCAUAGUCGAAAGGGCAACAGCCCAGAUCGUCAGCUAAGGUCCCUAAAUGUAAGUUAAGUGGUAAAGGAUGUGGGAUUGCACAGACAACCAGGAUGUUGGCUUAGAAGCAGCCACUCAUUCAAAGAGUGCGUAAUAGCUCACUGGUCGAGUGAUCCUGCGCCGAAGAUUUCCGGGGCUAAAACUUACUACCGAAGCUACGGCAUCAGUAAUGAUGGGUAGGGGAGCUUCCCAUACGGGUUGAAGCAUGACCGUAAGGACAUGUGGACAGUAUGGGAGUGAGAAUGUUGGCAUGAGUAGCGAGAUGUGGGUGAGAAUCCCACAGGCCGUAAACCCAAGGUUUCCAGGGGAAGGUUCGUCCGCCCUGGGUUAGUCGGGACCUAAGCUGAGGCCGAAAGGCGUAGGUGAUGGACAACAGGUUGAUAUUCCUGUACUACCGAUAACCGUUUGAGAGAAGGGAUGACACAGUAGGAUAAGCUAAGCACACUGUUGGUUAUGUGUGCCCAAGCAUUGAGGCAGUCAAAGUAGGCAAAUCCGCUUUGAUAAUGCUGGGAUGUGAUGGGGAGCGAAAUUUAGUAGCGAAGUAGCUGAUUUCACACUGUCAAGAAAAGUCUCUAUCGAGGUUAAAGGUACCCGUACCGCAAACCGACACAGGUGGGUGAGGAGAGUAUCCUAAGGCCAGCGAGAGAACUGUUGUUAAGGAACUCGGCAAAAUGACCCCGUAACUUAGGGAUAAGGGGUGCCACCAUCAGGUGGCCGCAGAGAAUAGGCCCAAGCGACUGUUUACCAAAAACAUAGGUUUCUGCUAAGUCGCAAGACGAUGUAUAGGAGCUGACGCCUGCCCGGUGCUGGAAGGUUAAGGGGAUCUGUUAGAGCAAUCGAAGCAGUGAACUUAAGCCCCAGUAAACGGCGGCCGUAACUAUAACGGUCCUAAGGUAGCGAAAUUCCUUGUCGGGUAAGUUCCGACCCGCACGAAAGGCGUAACGAUUUGGGCACUGUCUCAACAACAGACUCGGUGAAAUUGUAAUUCCGGUGAAGAUGCCGGAUACCUGCGACAGGACGGAAAGACCCCAUGGAGCUUUACUGUAGCUUGACAUUGGGUCUUGGUACUACAUGUACAGGAUAGGUGGGAGGCUUUGAAACCAGGACGCCAGUUUUGGCGGAGCCAUCCUUGGGAUACCACCCUUGUAGUACUGGGACUCUAACCAUAGGCCAUGAAUCUGGUCUUGGGACACUGUCAGGUGGGCAGUUUGACUGGGGCGGUCGCCUCCCAAAAGGUAACGGAGGCGCUCAAAGGUUCUCUCAGUACGGUCGGAAAUCGUACGUAGAGUGUAAAGGCAAAAGAGAGCUUGAUUGCAAGACAUACAGGUCGAGCAAGGAUGAAAAUCGGACUUAGUGAUCCGGUGGUUCUGCGUGGAAGGGCCAUCGCUCAACGGAUAAAAGCUACCCUGGGGAUAACAGGCUUAUCUCCCCCAAGAGUCCACAUCGACGGGGAGGUUUGGCACCUCGAUGUCGGCUCAUCACAUCCUGGGGCUGUAGUAGGUCCCAAGGGUUGGGCUGUUCGCCCAUUAAAGUGGUACGCGAGCUGGGUUCAGAACGUCGUGAGACAGUUCGGUCCCUAUCCGUCGCAGGCGUAGGAAAUUUGAGAAGACCUGUCCUUAGUACGAGAGGACCGGGAUGGACGUACCUCUGGUGUACCAGUUGUUCUGCCAAGGGCAUGGCUGGGUAGCUAUGUACGGAAUGGAUAAGCGCUGAAAGCAUCUAAGCGCGAAGCCAACUUCAAGAUAAGAUUUCCCACCGUAAGGGUAAGACCCCAGAAAGACUAUCUGGUUGAUAGGUCGAAGGUGUAAGUGCAGUAAUGUAUUUAGCUUAUCGAUACUAAUAGGUCGAGGACUUGACCAA
rnacentral:rRNA from 1 species